rnacentral:rRNA from 1 species
AGAGUUUGAUCCUGGCUCAGGACGAACGCUGGCGGCGUGCUUAACACAUGCAAGUCGAACGGAAAGGCCCUGCUUUUGUGGGGUGCUCGAGUGGCGAACGGGUGAGUAACACGUGAGUAACCUGCCCUUGACUUUGGGAUAACUUCAGGAAACUGGGGCUAAUACCGGAUAGGAGCUCCUGCUGCAUGGUGGGGGUUGGAAAGUUUCGGCGGUUGGGGAUGGACUCGCGGCUUAUCAGCUUGUUGGUGGGGUAGUGGCUUACCAAGGCUUUGACGGGUAGCCGGCCUGAGAGGGUGACCGGCCACAUUGGGACUGAGAUACGGCCCAGACUCCUACGGGAGGCAGCAGUGGGGAAUAUUGCACAAUGGGCGGAAGCCUGAUGCAGCAACGCCGCGUGCGGGAUGACGGCCUUCGGGUUGUAAACCGCUUUCGCCUGUGACGAAGCGUGAGUGACGGUAAUGGGUAAAGAAGCACCGGCUAACUACGUGCCAGCAGCCGCGGUGAUACGUAGGGUGCGAGCGUUGUCCGGAUUUAUUGGGCGUAAAGGGCUCGUAGGUGGUUGAUCGCGUCGGAAGUGUAAUCUUGGGGCUUAACCCUGAGCGUGCUUUCGAUACGGGUUGACUUGAGGAAGGUAGGGGAGAAUGGAAUUCCUGGUGGAGCGGUGGAAUGCGCAGAUAUCAGGAGGAACACCAGUGGCGAAGGCGGUUCUCUGGGCCUUUCCUGACGCUGAGGAGCGAAAGCGUGGGGAGCGAACAGGCUUAGAUACCCUGGUAGUCCACGCUGUAAACGGUGGGUACUAGGUGUGGGGUCCAUUCCACGGGUUCCGUGCCGUAGCUAACGCUUUAAGUACCCCGCCUGGGGAGUACGGCCGCAAGGCUAAAACUCAAAGGAAUUGACGGGGCCCCGCACAAGCGGCGGAGCAUGCGGAUUAAUUCGAUGCAACGCGUAGAACCUUACCUGGGUUUGACAUGGAUCGGGAGUGCUCAGAGAUGGGUGUGCCUCUUUUGGGGUCGGUUCACAGGUGGUGCAUGGCUGUCGUCAGCUCGUGUCGUGAGAUGUUGGGUUAAGUCCCGCAACGAGCGCAACCCUUGUUCACUGUUGCCAGCACGUUAUGGUGGGGACUCAGUGGAGACCGCCGGGGUCAACUCGGAGGAAGGUGGGGAUGACGUCAAGUCAUCAUGCCCCUUAUGUCCAGGGCUUCACGCAUGCUACAAUGGCUGGUACAGAGAGUGGCGAGCCUGUGAGGGUGAGCGAAUCUCGGAAAGCCGGUCUCAGUUCGGAUUGGGGUCUGCAACUCGACCUCAUGAAGUCGGAGUCGCUAGUAAUCGCAGAUCAGCAACGCUGCGGUGAAUACGUUCCCGGGGCUUGUACACACCGCCCGUCAAGUCAUGAAAGUUGGUAACACCCGAAGCCGGUGGCCUAACCGUUGUGGGGGAGCCGUCGAAGGUGGGACUGGUGAUUAGGACUAAGUCGUAACAAGGUAACCAAGGGCGAAUUCCACAGUG